rnacentral:tRNA from 1 species
CGGGGUGUGGCGCAGUUGGUAGCGCGCUUGCUUUGGGAGCAAGAGGCCCCCAGUUCGAGUCUGGGCACCCCGACCA